rnacentral:rRNA from 1 species
UUAGGAAUCUUGCGCAAUGGGGGAAACCCUGACGCAGCGACGCCGCGUGAGUGAUGAAGGCCUUCGGGUCGUAAAACUCUUUCGAUGGGAACGAAAUAAAUGACGGUACCCAUAGAAGAAGCACCGGCUAACUCCGUGCCAGCAGCCGCGGUAAUACGGAGGGUGCGAGCGUUAUUCGGAAUUACUGGGCGUAAAGAGCUCGUAGGCUGUUUAAUAAGUCUGAUGUGAAAGCCCUGGACUCAAUCCAGGAAGUGCAUUGGAUACUGUUAGACUAGAGUAUAGGAGGGGUGAGUGGAAUUCCUGGUGUAGAGGUGAAAUUCGUAGAUAUCAGGAGGAACAACGGUGGCGAAGGCGACUCACUGGACUAUUACUGACGCUGAGGAGCGAAAGCGUGGGGAGCAAACAGG